rnacentral:rRNA from 1 species
UACGUAGGGGGCAAGCGUUGUCCGGAAUUAUUGGGCGUAAAGAGCGCGUAGGCGGUCUGAUAAGUCGGUUGUGAAAGUCGGGGGCUCAACCCUCGGAUGCCGAUCGAUACUGUCAGGCUAGAGUCCGGAAGAGGCGAGUGGAAUUCCUGGUGUAGCGGUGAAAUGCGCAGAUAUCAGGAGGAACACCGGUGGCGAAGGCAGCUCGCUGGGACGGUACUGACGCUGAGGCGCGAAAGCGUGGGGAGCAAACAGG